rnacentral:rRNA from 1 species
GAUGAACGCUGGCGGCGUGCCUAAUACAUGCAAGUCGAGCGAACAGACGAGGAGCUUGCUCCUUCGACGUUAGCGGCGGACGGGUGAGUAACACGUAGGUAACCUACCUAUAAGACUGGGAUAACUUCGGGAAACCGGAGCUAAUACCGGAUAAUAUUUCGAACCGCAUGGUUCGAUAGUGAAAGAUGGCUUUGCUAUCACUUAUAGAUGGACCUGCGCCGUAUUAGCUAGUUGGUAAGGUAACGGCUUACCAAGGCAACGAUACGUAGCCGACCUGAGAGGGUGAUCGGCCACACUGGAACUGAGACACGGUCCAGACUCCUACGGGAGGCAGCAGUAGGGAAUCUUCCGCAAUGGGCGAAAGCCUGACGGAGCAACGCCGCGUGAGUGAUGAAGGUCUUCGGAUCGUAAAACUCUGUUAUCAGGGAAGAACAAACGUGUAAGUAACUGUGCACGUCUUGACGGUACCUAAUCAGAAAGCCACGGCUAACUACGUG